GUGCUUGCUUCGGCAGCACAUAUAUUAAAACUGGAAUGAUACAGAGAAGAUUAGCAUGGCCCCUGAGCAAGGAUGACACGCAAAUUCGUGAAACGUUCCAAAUUUUU
rnacentral:snRNA from 1 species